GUCCACGCCCUAAACUAUGUCAACUGGUUGUCGGGGAAGCAAUUCCUUGGUAACGAAGCUAACGCGUGAAGUUGACCGCCUGGGGAGUACGGCCGCAAGGUUAAAACUCAAAGGAAUUGACGGGGACCCGCACAAGCGGUGGAUUAUGUGGAUUAAUUCGAUGCAACGCGAAAACCUUACCUGGGCUUGAACUCCUACGAACUUGGCAGAAACGUCAGGGUGUCCGCAAGGAAAUGUAGUGAGAGGUGCUGCAUGGCUGUCGU
rnacentral:rRNA from 1 species